UACGUAGGGGGCAAGCGUUGUCCGGAUUUACUGGGCGUAAAGAGCGUGUAGGCGGCCACGCAGGUCCGUUGUGAAAACUGGAGGCUCAACCUUCAGACGUCGACGGAAACCGUGUGGCUAGAGUCCGGAAGAGGAGAGUGGAAUUCCUGGUGCAGCGGUGAAAUGCGCAGAUAUCAGGAAGAACACCAAUGGCGAAGGCAGCUCUCUGGGACGGUACUGACGCUGAGACGCGAAAGCGUGGGGAGCGAACAGG
rnacentral:rRNA from 1 species